CCUCUUCCGACAACGCCUGCGCCUGCGUGGGAAGCCCGCAGCCUGCAGGAUUAGCUUCAUUUCCUCCAGGGCUUUCCCUCUGGCCUCCAGCUCUGGCUCCAGGCUGCUCUCUCGUGGACAGGGCUAACCCCGGCACAAAGUACAGUCUUUUGGCGGAAUCUGCCCUCAGGCCCUCCAGGACCUCCGGGUUCACGGAGCUGGACAAAGCCAACCUCCGCGCCCGGCCCCCACGCGGAAACUUCUUGCCAGGAAAGAUCAGCUGGUUUUCCCAAGCCUGGCUCUGACCUCGUGGACAGGAAGCACCUUGAAACAGUCUCUGCCGAAGGAUCACCACAACAGAGGCAGAAACCGGGAUCACUUUUUUGCUUGGAGGAAAUCUGUACGAAUGGGCAGUCCCUAAUAUUACCACGUCACAGAAUGGCAGGCCUGGAAGGGAGCUCUGAGGUCAACCUGUCCAGCUCCUUCGUGGUGCAGAUGGGGAAACUGAGGACCAGGUGGUAAGUAACCCCACCAAAGCCCAACAAUUAUUUGUUGAUGAGCUGGACUGCAGCACAGACCUUGGGACUCUUAGUCCAGUGCUCUGUGAGCUGAUUUUCUUCAGAAGUUGAGCUGUCCCAAGGAUUCAGAUCCCUUAGAAUAUAUGCAGUGUCUUAGUCGGGAACACAGAAUUGGGAAUCACAAUGACAUGGAUUUCAGUCCAAGCCCCCUACUUGACAUCUCGGUGACCUUAGGUAAUUUACACUACCUCUAAGCAUCUCAGUUUACUCAUCUGCAAAAAAAAAAAAAGGUUCUAGGGUUACCUUAUAGAAUAGGCCCAUCUCUUUAUAAGGCGGCGUGCACGUGAAGCUUGUGUGAAGGCCUGCCAUACAGCAGGAGCUCGGUGGCAACAAUGAUGGUGGUGAUGGUGGUGACAACAUUGUCGUUGAUGAUGGUUUUAAUGAUGGUUUUCUACCCUGCUACUUUCGUCCACUCUUCGCUAAAAGGGUGCAAGCCCAUCUUCUCUGAUCUUAAGAUUUGGCCAUAACAAAAUAUGGCCAAAAUGACUCAAGGUGAACACCAAAUUGAAACACUUGGCUAAAAAGAGGUGGUUCUAACUCUUAGUUAGAUAUAAAUUGACUGCAUUUAAGUUUGUUAAAUGUUAAUGUGCUGCCAGCAGCCUCCAAUCUAAUGGAACUGAUGUCUAGCUCCUGCAGUAGAAAAACUACUGAAGAGAGACUCAUUUGUUUUUCUUCUCUUUCCAAGUCUCUUCUCACCUCUGCCUGAAAAUAUAAAGAACCUUCGGUCCCCAAAUUAAUUAAGGAGUAAAAACGAAAGUGAAGCCUUACUUUAAAUCCAGCUCUCAGCAAGGGUGAGAGGAACACUUGGUGGGUUCCACAGUUAAGGAUGCUUAUUGUAUGACGUUCUCCCCUUCCUCUGUCUGCCAGCUUUGAACAAGGUAGGAAACGUGAGGCAGAGAGGACCUUGGGUUCCAUAGUUUCUAGGGGCCUGCUCAGACAACAUA
rnacentral:lncRNA from 1 species